rnacentral:rRNA from 1 species
CCUACGGGUGGCAGCAGUGAGGAAUAUUGGUCAAUGGACGAGAGUCUGAACCAGCCAAGUAGCGUGAAGGAUGACUGCCCUAUGGGUUGUAAACUUCUUUUAUAUGGGAAUAAAACGUUCCACGUGUGGGAUUUUGUAUGUACCGUAUGAAUAAGGAUCGGCUAACUCCGUGCCAGCAGCCGCGGUAAUACGGAGGAUCCGAGCGUUAUCCGGAUUUAUUGGGUUUAAAGGGAGCGUAGGUGGGUCGUUAAGCCAGGUGUGAAAGUUUGCGGCUCAACCGUAAAAUUGCAGUUGAAACUGGCAGUCUUGAGUACAGUAGAGGUGGGCGGAAUUCGUGGUGUAGCGGUGAAAUGCUUAGAUAUCACGAAGAACUCCGAUUGCGAAGGCAGUUCACUGGACUGCAACUGACACUGAGGCUCGAAAGUGUGGGUAUCAAACAGGAUUAGAUACCCUGGUAGUC